AUCGAACGCUGGCGGCGGGCCUAACACAUGCAAGUCGAGCGCGCGGCGGACGGGUGAGUGGUUUCUGGCAAACUGCCUAAUCGACGGGGAUACCUACUGGAAACGGUUGCUAAUACCGCAUACCAUCAGCUGUGCCCAGAUGGGAUUAGCUAGUGGGUGGGGUAAUGGCUCACCUAGGGGACGAUGCCUAGCUGGUCUGAGAGGAGGACGACCCACACUGGAAAGGCGACACGGCCCAGACUCCUACGGGAGGCAGCAGUGGGGAAUAUUGCACAAUGGGCGAAAGCGUGAUGCAGCCAUGCCGCGUGUGUGAAGAAGGCCUUCGGGUUGUAAAGCACUUUCAGCGAGGAGGCGGUACUCGCAGAAGAAGCACCGGCUAACUCCGUGCCAGCAGCCGCGGUAAUAC
rnacentral:rRNA from 1 species